UACGGGGGGGGGCAAGCGUUGUUCGGAAUUACUGGGCGUAAAGCGUGCGCAGGCGGUUUUGUAAGUCUGUCGUGAAAUCCCCGGGCUCAACCUGGGAAUUGCGAUGGAGACUGCAAGGCUAGAGUGUGUCAGAGGGGGGGUAGAAUUCCACGUGUAGCAGUGAAAUGCGUAGAUAUCUGGAGGAAUACCGGUGGCGAAGGCGGCAUCCUGGACCGAUAGUUGACACUGAUGAGCGAAAGCUAGGGGAGCAAACGGG
rnacentral:rRNA from 1 species